UCUCUUUUCCAGCAUCGUGUUCACAUCAAUUCUGACCACUGGUCCAACAAGUUGGCCAAUGGCCUUAAGAAGACACUCUGAAUAGAAAUGUUCUGAUAACGUUAGAAAUCUUAUCUAGACCACUUGCUGUCAACAACAUCACUGGAAGUGGAAAAAGAGGACGACCAUAGCUGAAUGGAUAAAUAAUGUCUAAACACCACCCACAACCCACCCAUAAUAACAUUACCAAAAUUGCUCUUGUCAUGAAAACGAACAAGGUUUUUCUAGUUUAUGACCAGAAGAAACCCGUUAGGACCAUUACUUUUUGAUAGUGAGAUCGACCGCACAGCUCGUAGAAACUGAAGAGAAAUAAGGCGAAGCUUAAGAUACACAGA